UACGUAGGGUCCGAGCGUUGUCCGGAGUUACUGGGCGUAAAGCGCGCGCAGGCGGCGGUGCUGGCCCGGCGUGAAAGCCCCCGGCUCAACCGGGGAGAGUCGUCGGGGACCGCACCGCUUGAGGGCGGUAGGGGCUGGCGGAAUGCCUGGUGUAGUGGUGAAAUGCGUAGAGAUCAGGCAGAACACCUGGGGCGAAGGCGGCCAGCUGGGCCGUCCCUGACGCUGAGGCGCGAAGGCGUGGGGAGCAAACAGG
rnacentral:rRNA from 1 species